UGUAAUGAUGAUUCAAUAGACUAGAGUCUCUGAGAACAUGAUGUUUCUUUAAAUCACACUGAACA